rnacentral:rRNA from 1 species
UACGUAGGGUGCGAGCGUUGUCCGGAAUUAUUGGGCGUAAAGGGCUCGUAGGCGGUUUGUCGCGUCGGGAGUGAAAACCCAGGGCUUAACCCUGGGCUGGCUUCCGAUACGGGCAGACUAGAGGGUAUGCAGGGGGAGAACGGAAUUCCUGGUGUAGCGGUGAAAUGCGCAGAUAUCAGGAGGAACACCGGUGGCGAAGGCGGUUCUCUGGGCAUUACCUGACGCUGAGGAGCGAAAGUGUGGGGAGCGAACAGG